UUUCGCAAUGCCCGAAAGGGUGACGAAGCGACGCCGCGUGUGGGAAGAAGGCCUUCGGGUUGUAAACCACUGUCGGGAGUUAAGAAAUACAAGGAUAUUAAUAGUGUCUUUGUUUGACUAAGGCUCCGGAGGAAGCCACGGCUAACUCUGUGCCAGCAGCCGCGGUAAUACAGAGGCGGCAAGCGUUGUUCGGAAUUAUUGGGCGUAAAGAGCACGUAGGCGGCUAUGUAAGUCGGUUGUGAAAGCCUUCCGCUCAACGGAAGAACAGCAUCCGAUACUUCAUGGCUUGAGUGCGGGAGGGGAGAGUGGAACUUCUGGUGGAGCGGUGAAAUGCGUAGAUAUCAGAAGGAACGCCGGCGGCGAAAGCGGCUCUCUGGCCCAUAACUGACGCUGAGUGUGCGAAAGCUAGGGGAGCAAACGGGAUUAGAUACCCCGGUAGUCCUAGCCGUAAACGAUGGGCACUAAGUAGAGGGGUUUU
rnacentral:rRNA from 1 species